rnacentral:rRNA from 1 species
UACGAAGGGUGCAAGCGUUAAUCGGAAUUACUGGGCGUAAAGCGUGCGCAGGCGGUUUUGCAAGACAGAUGUGAAAUCCCCGGGCUCAACCUGGGAACUGCAUUUGUGACUGCAUGGCUAGAGUACGGUAGAGGGGGAUGGAAUUCCGCGUGUAGCAGUGAAAUGCGUAGAUAUGCGGAGGAACACCGAUGGCGAAGGCAAUCCCCUGGACCUGUACUGACGCUCAUGCACGAAAGCGUGGGGAGCAAACAGG